AGGCUGGGUUGAAAGGAGGCCCAGCGGUGUUGGGUUACCGGCGGUGAGUCACAGUCCCCUCCAGCCGCCGAGGCCCUGCAGGCCCCCAGCUCCGGCACGGUCAGGGCAGGGCCCUCCUGGAGCAACCGCGGAGCCUGGAAAGUCCCCGAGAGGGAUGCUUCGGAACCCCGGCUCUCUCAGGGAGAAAGGCGGAGUCAGGAACGAAGGGAGGCUCGAAGGAGGAACCCGGCCCUUCUCCAGGGCUCCGAUCUCCCGGGUUAAAAGUAGUGUGUCCACACAAUCUAUCCAGCCCAGUAAGACAGGGAAGAGAUUACGGGACAAUGCUUUCAAUUUCGCGGAAUUUAAGAAGCAGGUAAACGCCUUGAGCCAGGGCGGGUGACAGUUACGGAAGAAGGAGAAGCCUGGAGGUA
rnacentral:lncRNA from 1 species